UACGUAGGGGGCAAGCGUUGUCCGGAAUCAUUGGGCGUAAAGAGCGUGUAGGCGGCCCGGUAAGUCCGCUGUGAAAGUCCAGGGCUCAACCCUGGGAUGCCGGUGGAUACUGUCGGGCUCGAGUCCGGAAGAGGAGUGUGGAAUUCCUGGUGUAGCGGUGGAAUGCGCAGAUAUCAGGAGGAACACCAAUAGCGAAGGCAGCUCGCUGGGACGUCACUGACGCUGAGACGCGAAAGCGUGGGGAGCAAACAGG
rnacentral:rRNA from 1 species